rnacentral:rRNA from 1 species
GACGAACGCUGGCGGCGUGCUUAACACAUGCAAGUCGAACGGAAAGACCCUGCUUUUUUGCUGUUCUCGAGUGGCGAACGCGUAAGUAACACGUGUGUAACCUGCCCUUCACUUUCGGAUAACUUCACGUAACUGGGGCUAAUACCAUAUAGGAGCUCCUGCUGCAUUGUGGGGGUUGGAAAGUUUCGGCGGUUGUGGAUGUACGGGCGGCUUAUCGGCUUGCUGGUGGGCUAGUUGCUUACCAAGGCUUUGACGGGUCGCCGGCCUGAGAGGGUGACCGGGGACCAUGGGACUGAGAUACGGACCAGACUGCAACGGGGGGCAGCAGGGGGGAAUAUGGCCCAAUGGGACGGAGCGUGAGGAAGAGACGCCGCGUGCGGAAUGACGGCCUUUGGGUUGUGAAAAGCAUUCGCCUGUGACGACGCGUGAGUGACGGUAAUGAGUAAAGAAGCACCGGCUAACUACGUG